UUAAUUGAAGAGUUUGAUCAUGGCUCAGAUUGAACGCUGGCGGCAGGCUUAACACAUGCAAGUCGAGCGGUAGCACAAGAGAGCUUGCUCUCUGGGUGACGAGCGGCGGACGGGUGAGUAAUGUCUGGGAAACUGCCUGAUGGAGGGGGAUAACUACUGGAAACGGUAGCUAAUACCGCAUAACGUCGCAAGACCAAAGAGGGGGACCUUCGGGCCUCUUGCCAU
rnacentral:rRNA from 1 species